CCUACGGGAGGCAGCAGUGGGGAAUAUUGGGCAAUGGGGGAAACCCUGACCCAGCGACGCCGCGUGAGGGAAGAAGGUUUUCGGAUUGUAAACCUCUGUCCUUGGUGACGAUAAUGACGGUAGCCAAGGAGGAAGCCACGGCUAACUACGUGCCAGCAGCCGCGGUAGUACGGAAGGUCCGGGCGUUAUCCGGAUUUAUUGGGUUUAAAGGGAGCGUAGGCGGGCCGUUAAGUCAGUUGUGAAAGUUCGGGGCUCAACCCCGGAAUUGCAGUUGAAACUGCCGGUCUUGAGUACACGCAGGGAAG
rnacentral:rRNA from 1 species